CGGAAUUAUUGGGUUUAAAGGGUCCGUAGGCGGAUUUUUAAGUCAGAGGUGAAAGCCUACAGCUUAACUGUGGAACUGCCUUUGAUACUGGUAUUCUUGAGUAUAAUUGAAGUGGGCGGAAUAUGUGGUGUAGCGGUGAAAUGCAUAGAUAUCACAUGGAACACCAAUUGCGAAGGCAGCUCACUGGACCAUUACUGACGCUCAUGAACGAAAGCGUGGGGAGCGAACAGGAUUAGAUACCCUGGUAGUCCACGCCGUAAACGAUGAUCACUAGAUGUUGGGGAUAUAUUUCCGUGUUUAAGCAAAAGCGUUAAGUGAUCCACCUGGGGAGUACGGUCGCCAGAAUGAAACUCAAAGGAAUUGACGG
rnacentral:rRNA from 1 species